GUUCUUUUCUUGGGGAGGAAUAAGCCUUGCAGGGAAUGGCAGGGUGAUGACGUUAACCGAGGAAAAAGCCCCGGCUAAUUACGUGCCAGCAGCCGCGGUAACACGUAAGGGACGAGCGUUGUUCGGAAUUAUUGGGCGUAAAGGGCGCGUACGCGGCAUAGCAAGUCAGGUGUGAAAGGUCUCAGCUCAACUGAGGAAACGCGCUUGAAACUGCUGUGCUGGAGUCUAGGAGGGGAAGCUGGAAUUCCUAGUGUAGGGGUGAAAUCUGUAGAUAUUAGGAAGAACACCGGUGCCGAAGGCGAGCUUCUGGCCAUAGACUGACGCUGAGGCGCGAAAGCGUGGGGAGCGAACAGGAUUAGAUACCCUGGUAGUCCACGCCGUAAACGAUGUGCACUGGGUGUCGGCCCGUUGGGGUCGGUGCCGAAGCUAACGCGAUAAGUGCACCGCCUGGGGAGUAUGCUCGCAAGGGUGAAACUCAAAAGAAUUGACGGGGGCCCGCACAAGCGGUGGAGCAUGUGGUUUAAUUCGAUGAUACGCGAGAAACCUUACCAGGGCUUGACAUUUGUAGGACAGCGUUGGAGACAACGCCUCUCUUCGGAGCCUAUAUACAGGUGCUGCAUGGCUGUCGUCAGCUCGUGCUGUGAAGUGUUGGGUUAAGUCCCGCAACGAGCGCAACCCCUGCCAUCUGUUGCCAGCAUUUAGGAUGGGGACUCAGAUGGAACUCCCGAGUGACAAACUCGGAGGAUAGCUGGGGACGACGUCAAGUCAUCAUGGCCCUUAUGUCCUGGGUUAUCACACGUGAUACAAUGAACGGUACAGACGCGCAGCAAGACCGAGAGGUCAAGCAAAUCGCUCACAAGCCGUUCUCAGUACAGAUUG
rnacentral:rRNA from 1 species